GAUAUCACUAACAUGGCCUCACAAAGUACUAAAAAUGGAAAAAGGAGUCGGUUCUCACUGAUCUUCCUUUUGCUAGCUAGCCAGCGGCUCUCAACUCUGUGAAGGCCACAAGGCUAGAGCCAAAUAUACCCAAAAAGAGGGAAGUAAAUUCUUACAAAAUCAAUUUUGCUGUCUCUGCCCUAAUAAUGAAAGAUUCCUCUCCGUAGCUGCUUUGCCUUAUCCUGAAACCCUAGAAGACCAAAGAGAAAGCCUCAGUACUCCUUCAACAGACCCAUCAGAUUUGUUAAGGCAAUGGGGCUGCACCGCUGAUGACAUUUCCAAGAUUUUUCAGCGCCGCCCAUCUUUGCGCAAAAUGGAACACAAAAACCUUCAAUCGAAGCUCAAAAUACUCAGCGAUUUAGGUAUUGAAUCCUCUGACCUUACCAAGAUUCUUAACUGUCGUCCUCGUUUCCUUAAUUGUCGCAUCAAUCGUUGCUUAGAAGAGCGCCUUGAGUUUUCCAGACUUUGUUUGGUACCAAACAAGUUCUUCUCAAGGCCAUUGUGAGAAAUCCAUCGUUGCUUACUUAUGACUUCCACAAACAGAUUAAACCAACCGUUGCAUUUUAUGAGCAAUUGGGUCUUAGCAGAAGUGAUUUAAUUUCCAUGCUUUUAGCCCGACCAACUCUCAUACCAAGAAGUUCUUUGGAUGAUGAGAAGAUGGAUUACUUUCGAAGAACCGGUGUUGAAAAGGGUACUAGGAUGUUUAAACAUGUGAUUACCCUGUUUGCUAUUUCACGGUCGGAGACUAUCCGACAGAAGGUGGCUAAUUUGGAGAAACAUGGGUUUACUGAUGAUGAGGUUUUUAGGCUUUUUGGACGGUCUCCUUUUCUGUUAACAUUAUCUGUUGAUAAGGUUCAGAGGAACAUGACAUUUAUAUUGGGUACAAUGAAGCUUUCUGCCAGUUUGGUUCUUGAUAACCCAUGUUUGCUUUUCUUGAAUUUGGAGACCGCCAUAAAGCCAAGGUACUUUUUAGGGGGGAAGAUAGAUGAUAUGGGUCUGCUUCCUCGUGUGAAGGGUCCUUCUUUGUUAAGAGCAAUGAGGAUAUGGGUCUGCUUCCUCGUGUGAAGGGUCCUUCUUUGUUAAGAGCAAUGAGGAUGACCGAAAAGCGCUUCAUCAAGGCCUUUAUAAGUUGCCAUCCGGAGGACGUGGCUCGUGAACUGAUGGAGUACUACAGAAGCGUUAAAUGUGUUAGAAGGUUGGCAGAAUCCUCCAAGAAACAUUUGUGCAAAGGAUUCCCUUUUUGAGCAUAUUUUUGUAACAGAGGCUUCUCCAACUAUUAUUUGACUUUGUUUCUUAUUGAAUUCCUGUUCAUUUUUCAUUGACAGAAAGUAGAUUAUACCUGUAUCAUUGACUACCUGUGGAUGCUUGCUUGUUAUUUUGAAGUAUAGUCAAUAAGAAUGAUAUUCUGUUGGGGAAGUGGAUGGAGGCUAAUGAUGUAAAAUUACCUUCUGAUAUAAUGUAUUUCAUGCCCA